GUCAUGUUCCCCAUGUUCCAGGAGCUUGCACUACAUGACCCACACGACAAGUGUGGUCACCACUAUGUGAUCUGUCUUGACCUGAAGAACCAACGUUUUGAGGUGCUUGAUUCAAUCCGUUCGGAAGCUGAUGCAGACCUUACUACGCAUGCUGAAUUCUUCAUCAAAAACCUCAAAGAGACAUGGAACCGUCACUACGAACACUCAAAGGUCCAGAUCAGGCAUUUCCCGACUGAGUACGUGGCGACUGUGAAGCAUGGGAACACGACGGACAAUGGCUUUCACGCGUUGGAAUACUUUGCAAAGUGGGAAGGUAGACUUGUCCCCGCUGUCACAGCUGAAAUGGUCGUUGAGCUCUGGAAAAUCUACACAUGGAACUGGUUGACGAAUGAAGAUUUCAACAAGCGGUCCGGAGCACGCGAGUUCGUGGAGGAAGCUGUCAAG
rnacentral:rRNA from 1 species